GAUACGGUCAAUGUGUUUGUUGCUACCCUGCCUGGUUGGUAGGGGUGUCAUUCUUUUUGAUGGUGACUAUACCAUUUCAUUUCAUGAAUUAUUUCUAGUCGGAAAAAACGGCCGAAAUUGUGCACACUACUAAAAGAAACACUUUGAAUUCAAGCUUACGUGUUUGGGUAAAUUAUGCGAAAAAUGGUUCGUUUUAAUUUGAAAUUGCAGGUCGAGUUGUUUUCACAUCAAACGAUAUUCAAACGUGUUAAUUUUACGGUUCUGGGCUUGUUUCCAAUCGAAUGGAAUGUAAUUUUCGGGGUCUGAUGAUUUAAUUUUCGUGCUGUUGUUUCAACGUCUUUUUCAGAUCGUGUGUGCAACUACUAAUUAUUUAAUUAUCUUGAUACAAUUCAACGACCACAUUUUAAAGCUUUCGUAAGUAAUCAAUGACGGCGGAAAGGACUAAACACGAUGCAUAAUUUAUGACAAUUUAUUCCACCAAUAUGUGAGUGUAGGUACUUAAGCAUAAUUGUGUUAUUUAUUGUAAUAGAAUAAAAUGAAACGUAGCCAUUUCAACAAACCCUUAGAAUUCGUAAUUUUAGUUGCGAAAAUUUUGGGAAUUGUGCCCCUGUCUUCAGGGCCACAAAGAAAACGCGUUCGAGUUUUGUUAAUUUUGAAACAAGUGUUGGGCUUUUGUGGGAUUGUUUUCAUAUGUUGGUUGCAUUUUUUUCACUACAGUUGCACAAAAAUUAAAUUUAGUUACUUGUCCUCAACUAUUUCUAGUAUCUUGAACGUUGGGUACAAUGUCUUGAUGUGUAUUGGGACUUAUUUAAUAUCAAUUUUGUAUGAAAAAAAGUACAGAAGUGUGAGCGUAGUGAUUUCCAGUUUUGAUCAAAGUAUGGAGAGUAGAGUAAAAAGUCGUAAGAAAAUUUCAACAGUCGAAACAAUUGUUUUUGGUUUGAGUGUAACAUUCGUGUUGGUGAUACUUUGCGUUCAAUUUGGACAUUACUUUAGAAAUUACAGGAGAAAUAAUUUUUGCAUAUUGUUUACAGUUUUGAGUUUAGUGAUUACAACGGUCGUUUUCUUACUAAACUUUGUGUUAUUAAUAGGUGUUAGUAAGCGGUUUAAAUUGUUAAAUAAAUACUUCAAAUCGAUUAUUUUCUUGGCUGUUGAUUAUGAAAACUCUAAUGUGAGUUUGGUGAGAGAAACUGAAGAAUGUAGCAAAUUGUGCCACAUGUUAAUGGUAACGGCAGAAUUGGUUAAUCAAAUUUUUGAACUGUUUAUUGCCAUUGAUUUUAUGAUAUUUUUCUGCCUUUUAAUUUUUCUUAUUUUUUAUCUCAGUGCUGAUAAUGACACUUUUCGUGAUAGAUUUCCCACCAAAAUAGAAAUGUAUACAAUGUUUUUUUGGACACUUGUCGCAUUUUUAAAAACAGUUCUCACCACUUAUGCGUUCAAAUCAGUGGCUACAGAAGCAAACCACUACAAUCGUAUUGUGCAUUCAAUUAGAAGUGAGUCAGUGAUUCCCAAAAAUUUGGUGAUUACAAUUUCGCAUCAAUUAAAUUUCUACAGUUCUCAGUUUACAGUCUUUGAGAUGUUUCCACUGGAGUGGAGCAACUUGUUUACGAUAUUGGUCAGUGCUAUGAUGUAUUCAAUUUUCUUUCUGCAGCUGAAUGGUGGCAAAAAUUACAUUUUGUUCCUAAGUUAAAAUAAAAAAAAGUAUUUUGGACACAUAAUCGCCCCAAAUUAACGUAUUUUACAGACACAAGUAUGCAAAUGGUCGUUUCUUGGACACAAUAGGUUUACUAUUGUUUUGGAGCCGCUUUAGCUUUUAAAUAUCAAAUACAUUGUACUUUACGUUACAUAUUCGACAAAUAAG